rnacentral:misc_RNA from 1 species
GGAAGGAUCAUUAUCACGUAUUGCUACGUUAAACCUGUGUGACCUAGAAUCAACGCAUCUUUGGUUGCUUGACAUAAUCAGUUUCUGCGAAUGCACUGGAGAUCGACCCACCGCUGCCUGUCAAUGAAAAACCUUUUCCUCCAAAAAAAAUGCGGUUAUGAGUACGGCCAAGUUUACAGGUGUUACAGGGAAAGUGUUAACGCAAAUGCAGUGGAACCGGACCGUGCCGCGGAGAGGGUUGUGUAUUGUGCCGAAGGUCUACGAGGUGAAAGCAGGAUCUCAUUGCUGUGGUAAAUGCUUUGUCUCCUGACCGGGGUCACGCGAUUAUAUUGAUGACGAUUGAUUCGAGUUUCAUUACCUGUGGAUUACCCGGUAAUAACCCAAAACAAACCCCACAACCUUAUACCCUUUACUAAAAACAACCUGUUUGUUUAAGAAAAGCUUCCAGCACCAACGCUGGUCUUUCUCUUGAAACUUACAAAUGCUGAACAACUCUUAGCGACGGAUAUCUUGGUUCUCGCAACGAUGAAGAACGCAGCGAAAUGCGAAACGUAAUGCGAAUUGCAGAAUUCAGUGAAUCAUCAAAUCUUCGAACGCAGACUGCACUCUCGACUAAUAAUCUUGAGUACGCCUCAUUCAGUGUCGACUAUAAUCUCUUUGGUGUAUCCUAACCCAGUGAGGGGAAGUUUGGCCCGCGGGAAGUCGUCGCCACACGGCAGAGAUCCAGGGCCGGGUCAUACAGAAGAGCUAAUGCCCGUUAUAUAAGCCAGAUGUGUAGGACUCCUGGGGAUACCUAAAGGUCAUGAGUGUCGGACUCUUUUCUGGAUCGCGUGUAGUUUGUUCCCUUUAACCUUGGUGGUUUUAUGAGCCGAGGGGGAACAUUAACCCAGCGCACCGGCUUACGCGAUAUACCAAGGAUUAGAUUAACACCGUCACUUUAAAUUCAGCCGACGAUUCGUUAGUUCACUUUGGAGAGAUCCAUUGACAAAAACGUUUCCGUUCUGUCUGUUUUUGGACAAACUCGGAUAUGUUUUCUCCUGUUUUUGGGGAAAAAAGUCCAAGUUGUGUUUUCAAAGACGCUUGAAUGACAGUCUGGAAGCGGAACUUGACGAAUUUUGUGUUGCGGUAAAAAUUGGUGCCACAGAGCGAUAUUCAUGCCUUGUCCAAAAAAUACAUAAUGGCAGGACACCUUAUUCACGCGCGUGAAGUACGUUGACACCACAUUCGACAAUUAGGCCCGUUUCAACCUCUUCUAGGGUGUGGUGCCGGCGUGACUGAAGGAGUAAGGUACGUAUAUUCAAACGUAACUGUCGGCCUUCAUUUUGGGAGCGGGGACACCCGUUAUUAGCUGGCCUGGGACAUUGCAAUAACUCCGAAGCUCUGCAACAGCUCAAUCAAGAACUAGACCUGAAUUGAAGCGAGACUACCCGCUGAACUUAAGCAUAUUAUUAAGCGGAGGAAAAGAAACUAACAAGGAUUCCCCUAGUAACGGCGAGUGAAGCGGGAAGAGCUCAAAAUGAAAAUCGGUUUCCCAAACGGGCCGCCGAGUUGUAAUCUAAAGAUGUAUGGUCUGUGCGCGACCUGGGUAUAAGUCCUUUGGAACAGGGCAUCAUAGAGGGUGAGAAUCCCGUUUAUGACCUGGAGUUCGCCGCGUACGAUAUACAUUCAACGAGUCGUGUUGCCUGGGAUCGCAACACUAAAUGGGUGGUAAAUCUCAUCUAAAGCUAAAUACUGGCGAGAGACCGAUAGCGAACAAGUAGCGUGAGCGAAAGAUGAAAAGAACUUUGAAAAGAGAGUUAAAAAGUACUUGAAAUUGCUAAGAGGGAAGUUAUGAAAACCAGUCUAUCCUAUGGUAUAUUUACCAGACAAGCGGACGAGGGUUAAGCGUAUGGCUGCGUAACGGCACUGUUGCUUUUCUUUUUGUAUCGACUGUUUGGGUCCUGUACCUUUGGCUGUGUCAGCAUCACUUUGGUUUGCCGGAGAAGCCUUGUGGGAAGGUAGAUUGCAAGCAGUUUCGGCUGUUUGUUUUUCUUUAUAGCCCAUGAGGUUUACGGUGGACUGGAGUGAGGAACAGAUAAACCACAUCCAAGGCACCGUUGCCCGCUUGGUUUUCCUGAUUGGACAGCAAUGCUGUGUUGUUGGGACCGCUAAGUGUGUUUUGCAAUGGGCUCGCCAUUUGUGGUUUAGCGAUGCUGACGAAAUGGUUUUCAUUGACCCGUCUUGAAACACGGACCAAGGAGUCUAACAUAUAUGCGAGUAUUUGGGUGAUUAAAACCCUGAUGCGUAAUGAAAGUGAAGGUGCUUCGGCACUCAGGUAGGAAUCCUUGCUUCGGCGGGGAGGCACUAUCGACCGAUCGCCGCUUGCGGUAGAUUUGAGUAAGAGCAUAUCUGUUGGGACCCGAAAGAUGGUGAUCUAUGCCUGAACAGGGUGAAGCCAGGGGAAACUCUGGUGGAAGCUCGUAGCGUUACUGACGUGCAAAUCGUUCGUCUGAUUUGGGUAUAGGGGCGAAAGACUAAUCGAACCAUCUAGUAGCUGGUUCCCUC